rnacentral:rRNA from 1 species
AUAGUACGGAUGCGCGAUACUUUUCACAUGCAAGUCAAACGGAGAGAGAGAGAGUCUNCUUUUUUGAGGGCGAGUGGCGGACGUGUGAGUUAUAUAUCGGAACGGGCCCAGGGGCGGGGGAUAACUGCUCGAAAGAUUAGCUAAUACCGCACCCCUCGGGGAGGGGAAAGGGUGGGAUCGCAAGACCUCUCAGUAUUGGAGCGGCCGAUAUCGGAUUAGCUUGUUGGUGGGGUAAAGGCUCAGCAAGGCAUCGAUAGGUAGUUGGUGUGAGAGGCCGNCCAGACACACUGGGACUGAGACACGGCCCAGACUCGACGGGAGGCAGCAGUGGGGAAUUUUGGACAAUGGGGGCAACCCUGCUCCAGCCAUCCCGCGUGUAUGAUGAAGGCCUUCGGGUUGUAAAGUACUUUCGGCAGAGAAGAAAAGCAUCUCCUAAUACGCUGUCCUGCUGACUGU